rnacentral:rRNA from 1 species
AAAUUACGCCUUCAUGAAGCUGGAAUUGCUAGUAAUGGCAGGUCAGCAUACUGCCGUGAAUACGUUCCCGGGCCUUGUACACACCGCCCGUCACACCAUGAGAGUUGGAAAUACCCGAAGCCUGUGAGCUAACAAACGAGGCAGCAGUCGAAGGUAGAGCCAAUGAUUGGGGUGAAGUCGUAACAAGGUAGC